ensembl:lncRNA
CGGGGCCAGAUUAUUCUCUGCACAGCAGGAGCAGGCCCCUCAAAAUCCCAGGGAUCCCUCAGGGCCCAUGGAGGCGCAAGGGCAGAAGGCUGAGCGGCAGUGACACACGAGGCAGACCUCACAGCCCCAGGGUCAGACCCACAAGGGGCACCAGCUCCCCUGGCUAUCAGGAAACUUCAGAGAUGGCUCCAGGCCUCGGCACAGGGUCUCGGGCUGCAGCCCAGGCUGGCCUUGAACUCCCAGUGAUCUUCCUGCCUCAGCCUCCUGAGUGCUGGGAUUACUGCUGUGCCUCCCCUGACUUCCUCAGUCCACAUCAGUUUCAGGAACCUGCUCUGCUGUCAGUGUCCUCCUCGAUCUGUGCUCACUGCACUUUGCCGGUCCUGGUUCCGGCUUUGGAAGCUGACUCUCUGACCUGAGGCGAGGAGAGAACCAACCACGCCCAGCAGAUUUGCUCCGCUGGGAAGAGUCUGCGCAUGCCUGCAGACAGGAACGGAGCAACAUCACUCGCUCAAGAGAAUGAGCUUCACACUCAGCACAUCCAAGCACAAGCUACGGACUGAAUGCAACUAGUAGGGAUGGAACUCAGGUCCUUUCGACUGCAAGGCAGGUGCGGUGCCCCUGAGCUAAAUCCCCGGCCCUAUACUACAUUUCUCAAGAAUCUAAAGUAAAUUACCAGCCGGGCAUGGCUGUGCAUGUUUGUAAUCCCACCACUCAGGAGGCUGAGGUGGGAGGAUUGGUGUCAGUUCAAGGCCAGCCUGGGCUACACAGUGAGAUGCUCUCAAAAGAGUGGCUGGAUGCAGACCCUGGGCUUCUUGGGUCAGUUCUACUGUAGUCUGCACACUGAAGGUAAUGCAGCCCCACUCACAAAGUUGCUGUGAGAAAUUAUCCAGCACAGGUGAAAAAAGUGCAGCAAACGGCCGGCUCCUCUCACACAGCGGCCCGCCGAGGCCUCCUCGCUGGCAGCAGGACUGUGUGCUCAGCCGCCCAGCCCGCUGUGCGUGGUGCGCUUCCCAUCCUGUCACAAGCACAGGUUGAUCGGGAGAGGAAAUCGGGCUGGGCUUCGGGAGUUUCUGUCCGGGUUGGUCGGCCCUGCUGCUUGGGGCCCGGCUGGGAGCGUGGAGGGACCAGCCCCUCCCCUCCCAAGACGAGGUGGCGCCAGGAGGGCGGGGAAUGCAUCUCCCUAGUCGCCAAGCUUCCCUCUCACUUCAACCUAUUUAGAAAUCAAAACCAAAAGGCGUGUUCACUUAAAAGAGGGUACAGACAUUCCUCAUGUGAUGACUGACUUCUGUUCCUGAGACGAGGUCGUUAAGUUCCUCUAGGUGAGCAACUGUACACGACAUGAACACUACAAGACAGUAUUCAGAACAAAGACAUGGCAAAAGGAAACUCCAACUUGAUGACUUGGCUUUUAUUUCCAUGACUCUUCCAUGCAGUGUUGUAAUGUAUAAGAGAACAUAAAACCACAGUACUGUACUGUACUGUACUGUACAAUCAGCCAGUUUGGGCGACACAGUGAGAUCUUGUCUCAAAAAAAAAAAAAAAAAAAAAGACAUGUUGUAAGUCUCGGGAUAGCACACCUCCGUCAUAAGUCUGAAUGGCCGUUAAGCAGGCAGGCUGUUAAACAAUACCAAUACUAAAAUACUCAGGUAAUUAAGCAAUGCUUGUUUUAAUCUUAUGUCAAAGGUUAUUAAUAUUUAUGGAGUAACUAUUACAAUCAUUGAAAUUAUUUGGAAACGCACUGUAUCUUAAAACGUUUUUAUUAUGAAAAUGUGCAGGGCCCGGGGAUUCAGCUCAGUGGCAUGAUGCCUGCCUCACAAGUACAAGGACCCGAGUUCGAUCCCUGGUACCAAAAAAAAAAUGUGAAACCAAUGAAAAUAUUUCUAGCCACACACAUACAGAACAUUUACAUAUGUGUGUAUUCAAAUACAUGGAUACAAGACACAGGGCUGGGUCAGCUCAGUGGUGGAACACUCCCCUACCACAUGUAAGACCCUUGUGUGUGUGUGUGUGCGCAAGAUAUUUUUUUUUUUGGUACCGGGGAUCAAACUUGGCAGAGUAUUUAAGCCACAUUCAUAAUGUAUUCUACAAUCUUCUCAUCUCCCACAAGACCUAAAUGUGGGGAGCGGUGUCAGCCCAAGAAGCUCCAUCUUAAAUUUACCCUCCGUUGUAAAUAGUUAGGAGAUUAUGUUAUGGAGAACCGUGCCCUUGCCAACUCCGAUGCUUACUUUCAGAGACUGCCUUAGAAACAAGAUGACCGCUCUGUAACCUCAAGAAACAAAGUAGCCCUUGAGGGCGGAGAAUGUUCAGAAAACUGGUAAACAAGGAAGCAGGUGUUUUUUGUAUAAAGGUCAUGAUUAAUGACCUAACUCACUGAGUGUAUAAAAGAGAGGUGUAAAUAAACUUGCUUGCUCGGUCUUGGGAGCCCUCCCGA